AAGCUGCACCAAGUUGGAAGGGACAAUGUUUGGAGCUUGUUCGCUGCCUCUCCUGUUAUUGCUGCUGCCAGGUGGAUGCAGAAGUACUAUCGUCUCCCAAUUGGAGAAAUACUUGUCUGUUGGAAAAGGGGAGAUGGUGGAAAUGCAUUGUUUCCAAGAAGGCACUAGCAAUAGCUACAUGUACUGGUACCGCCAGCACAAAGGAGCAAGCCUGCAGCUCAUAAUUAUCUCCAUUUUCGGUUCUGAACCCAGGCCUGAAGAGGGUUUCAAGAAGAGGUUUGAAGUCACCAGACCCAGUCAAACGUCGUGCAGCCUGAAAAUUCAGAGCUUGGUGCCAAAUGAUACUGCAAUCUAUUACUGCGCUGCUAGUGAUCACAGUGAUUCGAACAGGCUUACAGCUGGAUCAAAAAGCUCCUCGCCUCUAGUGAUUGGGUGA